UGGAGAUUAUAGUUGUGCAGACGAUCUUUCAUCUUCUUCCUUACAGUUCGAAACGAUACAAGUAACCGAGUUAUCCUCUUUAAACUCUUCAUUAAUGGUCAUACACGGUCUACAAUCAAUGCGAAUUUUUGUUAUACAAGACGGUGGAUUUCGACUAUAAAAAGACUGUCCGCUCCUCUUCCACCGUUGAAGUUCGCUUGCUCUGUUUCUAAGAGGCCAGGAAACAAAUACGAUGUUGAUGUUA